UUUCUCUUUCUGUUCCUGGCUUACUUCACUUAACAUACGUGCCACCACACCUGGCUAUUUAUUUAUUUAUUUAUUUAUUUAUUUAUUUAUUUAUUUAUNNNNNNNNNNAAUAACAUACAGCUUCAUUGGUGAAUCUUCCUCAUUACAUUUUCUGGACAACUGCACAUGGAUGUGGUAUGGGACAUUGCUUAUACUUUUGGUUUAGUCAGCUUGAUUGAGCUUCAUAUCAGUGCACUCACCUGGAGCCCCCUUCUUUUUCAUAGCAAAAUUUUGAAAUUUCUUUUAGUGCAUGGUCAGCACAAAUAUCAUGACAAUAGAUAGUACUUACCAAAUGCCAUAUACUUUCCUAAGUGCUUUAUGUUGGUAAUUUAAUUCUUAAAACAGCCCGAUGAGGUAUAGACAUGAUUAUCCCUUCUCACAGAGCAAACAGUUACUUAAAAAUGUUAAGUAACAUCUUAGGAAGAUUUAUAGUCACAUACUGUAGUGGAACGUGCUGA
rnacentral:lncRNA from 1 species